AUGACAGAGUGCUGUGACUUUUUAAUGCCAACAGCCACUAUCUUCUCUGUGCUAUUGUACAUUUUUCUUUUAAGAAGUAGUGCAGCUCUGAAGACUCCUGGAGAUCUUGGCAAGCUUUUCCAUCAACUGCAUCAACCAACAAGUGUUGCUACGUCAAGGAAGAAAGGUAUGCAGAUACAGAGGCGGGGAACAGACAACAAGAACAACAAUGAUGGCAUCAGUGACAACAAAAACAGGAUGACAUUAUCUUUCAGGCAUUGCAGACACAUCUGAGUAAGCUAUAUGCCACUUUCUUGGGAAGUUCAAUCAUUUGUGAACACCCUACAUCAAGUGAAAAAAAUUUUCACUUGUUUCUAGAAAAACUGUCAAGUUGCCUAGAAAGAGGGGGGAAAUGGUAAGUCUUUUAGGAUAAAAAAUCAAGUAUAGCAUGUACCUAAAAAUAGCAACACAGUGGAGUGGUGGAAAGAAGGACGGAAAAGUAAACAAACACGCUACUUCCAAAACUUGGAAGAAAUUCUUGUCUCUUUCUUCACCAUGUGCUGGCAGUCUUUACUUUUCCUUCACCACGUUUGACACAUAAUUAUCUAGUCACUUAUAAUUAAUUGGAGUAAUUUGUCCUUUGUCCCCACCAAAGGGCAAACUUCAUGAGAGUAUGGAUUGUGUUUGCUUACACACUGUACCAUCUCUUUGUCACAGUGUGAAAUGCACAGUUGGAGGAUAUCCAGUAAAUAUUUGUUGACUAAAUUUCUGCCUGACUGAUAUGGUUGUUUGGGAGAUCAAAAGAGACAUGCAUAGGAAAGUCCUUUGUAAACAGUAAAUUAGUGAUAGCUUGAUAACUUUAUUAGUACUGUGUAUGUGGGUAGGAACAAAUGAAAAAAUAAACUGAGGCUAAUGCCUUAAAGAAAUGUGAAC
rnacentral:lncRNA from 1 species